AACACCACACUUUCUAACCCGAGCAGGGAAUUGCCGAUUUUACGACUUGACAAAUUUGGGUGUCUGUGUAUGAACUUCUUACUUGAACAUGUGGAACCUAGAAUAGUGUACACAUUUGCACACAACCAUAUCAGUACGUACACACGUACGCAUCAAGUUCUCUUCGCUGAUUUUCGUCGCUACUCUUGUUUCGAUUCAGUUUUAUAAAGGACGUGCUACGCGAUGUGUCAAAAGUAUUUUUUUUAUCGUCGGUCUAACUUCCUGCUGAACGCCUUGUUGCACGCUUUAAGUAAAUCGUGAACAGUGAACGGUAAACCACACUUUCUUGUUACCAUCGACCAUUGCCGAUACCUCGUCGGCAACCGUGUUAUUGGCAUUAUUGGCCUAAUGAAUGUUAUAUAUUGUAUUUUUUUUUGUUGCUGCUUUUCAAAAUAAGUGAUAAAUAAAUAAAGAGAAUGUGCUGAACAUCCAAAAAAUGGUUUCCAAGUUUUGCAAACGAAGCGAACGUUGUGGGUACCUUGUAAUAAUUUUCUGUUAGCAUAAGUUCCACAUGUGUGUGUAAUCAUGCUUGGUUGGAGAGGAGUGGGGCUUAUAUCCACUGCUACUGAUAAUUGUUGGUGCAAAAUAAAAUAACACUUAAGUGGUACAAGCUGGCUAUAAAAAUUAUCAUAUUUCAGUGACAGACGCGCUAAUAUUGGAUAGUAACAUUUUAAGUUCCUGCAUUGGAUAUUCAACAAAUUUUAUUUGAAUGUUAAUAAUACUUAAAAAUGAAAAUACAAUCUGAUGCGAAUACAACAUUGAGGAUACAACAUUGACACAUUAUAUAACAUAAGGCAUUGAACAACUUUACUUUCGUUAUGAGUUCCGUGGAUCACAGUGCACCAUACAUAGUUGAUAAAAGUUAAUUUCAUUUUCAUAACAUUACCGCAAGCCAUCUACAAGUGAGCACUCAGUUUUGCACCGACAUCGCUCCUCAAAGCAGUUAAGUAGCAGAAAACUGCAGAUUAAUACCAACAUAAGCUAUACAACACCUAACGCUACCAACAGAUUUGGAUCUAAAAUGUCGUCAAAUUGGCUCCUCCUCCUUGGUCUGGUAACUUUAUUGACAGGGAGAUCUCACGGCGCCUCGAAGCGUUUCUUUACAGACUUUCUGCAAGAUCUACCCACACCAGGCACAGGUGGACCUACCUUUGAUACAACUAUAACUAGCAACAUUACCGGUCUUGUGGGAAAAACUGUAAAGUUGACCUGCCGUGUUAAAAAUCUUGGAAAUCGCACGGUAUCUUGGGUCCGUCAUCGGGAUAUACAUCUUCUAACUGUUGGCCGUUAUACGUAUACAUCAGAUCAGCGAUUCGAAGCAAUGCACUCGCCACAUGCCGAAGACUGGACCCUUCGUAUACGUUAUGCCCAGCGCAAGGACUCAGGCAUAUAUGAAUGUCAGAUCUCCACAACACCACCAAUCGGUCAUUCAGUCUAUUUGAAUAUUGUGGAGCCUAUCACGGAGGUCAUUGGCGGGCCCGAGCUACACAUCAAUAAAGGUUCCACCAUUAAUUUAACUUGCAUUGUAAGAUUUGCACCGGAACCACCCCCAACCGUUAUCUGGUCGCACAAUCGGCAGGUUAUAAAUUUUGAUUCACCGCGAGGUGGCAUAUCAUUGGUCACCGAAAAAGGUGUGUUGACCACCAGCCGGCUGCUAGUGCAGAAGGCUAUCCAACAAGAUUCUGGGCUUUAUACAUGUACACCAUCGAAUGCCAAUCCGACGUCGGUGCGGGUGCACAUCGUCGAUGGUGAGUAGCACGCAUUUACUAUCGCAUGAAAAAUCACGUGUGUGAAUAUUUCAGUCGGCGGCAACCAAUUUCGUAAUACUCGCUCAUAGUCCAAUAACAGGUUAAUUUAGUUGAUGGGAUUGAAGAUGUUUUCUUUUGCUUGUUACAAACAUGUGCACAGGAACACUAUAAUCCUUUUUAAAAUGUAGGCCAAAUAUGAUUUUAUAAUUUGUUUUCAUACCCUAAUCUUAAUUUCGAAAUGCCAGCCCUCAAGCAGUGCCGCUAGCCCCGUACAGUUUACAACACGAUGAACCUGCUCAACGAACGAAGUUCGCAGAUAAGCAUGUAGGUAUUCGGGCUGUAUGGGACCUUAUCUCUUGUUGGCAUCUUGGCGACAAAUCCUUGCUCUCCAGAGCCAAAAAGUAGCCAAUAUCAAGGAAAACCUGGAAAGCCGCCACAUCUGUAACACGACUGCGUCAGGGUGAGCCUUUGUUAGUUUCUCAUCGACAGCGUCUAUCCCAGACGCCUUGCAUAACUUUAACCUCUUAAUUUGCGUUCGCACUUCAUGCUCCACCACAAGCCCGAUGAUGCAUUCCGACAAUUUUAUCUUUCGAGAGUUGAAUAACGUUGAAUAGUGAGAUCGCUCGCAUCCCCGAAGUGAUGACGGUCGUCCAAUGCCAGUGGCAACAAAUACAGAAACUGCCUAUUAAUGCGGAUAAGACAAAAUAACAAAAACAUGGAAUUUAAGCAACAAGCGGCUGACGACUGCAGCAUCACCGCCAAGACGCUUAAAAUUGCCUCAAAGAAGCGAGAAGGCCAUUUAGCUCAUUCACAUGCAAAGAAUCCAUAGCCCUUGCGGGCUCCAAGUCAACUCUAGUGCUUUCAGGAGAGCAUCCUGCGGCCAUGCAUCAUGGAAACUCUGCGCCCUUGCAGCCGCCGGAAUUCUUUUUACUAGUGCUG